GGUGGAGCUCAGUGGUAGAGGGCCUGCCUAGCAUGCAGGAGGCCCUGGGUUCAAUUCUAGCACCA
rnacentral:tRNA from 1 species